GAUGAACGCUGGCGGCGUGCCUAAUACAUGCAAGUCGAGCGAACAGACGAGGAUCUUGCUCCUCUGACGUUAGCGGCGGGCGGGUGAGUAACACGUGUAUACCCUCCCUAUCAGACUGGGAUAUCUUCGGGAAACCGGCGCUAAUACCGGAUAAUAUCUUGCACCGCAUGGUUCAAUAGUGAAAUACGGUUUUGCUGUCACUUAUAGAUGCAUCCGGGCCGCAUUAGCUAGUUGGUAAGGUAACGGCUUAUCAAGGCAACGAUGCGUAGCCGACCGGAGAGGGGGAUCGGCGACACGGGAGCUGAGACGCGGUCCAGACUACUACGGGAGGCAGCAGAAGGGAACGUUCCGCAAUGGGCGAAAGCAUGACGGAGCAAGGCGGCGUGAGAGAUGAAGGUCUUGGGAUCGUAAAACUCUGUUAUUAGGGAAGAACAAAUGUGUAAGUAACUAUGCACGUCGUGACGGUAACUAAUCAGAAAGCAACGGCUAACUACGUG
rnacentral:rRNA from 1 species